AUCUAACAACAUCAUUGCCCAGAUGCAUAAAAAGCACACAGUUCAGAGUAUUUUGAUUGGAAAAGACCAUUUCAUGGUGACGGUUUAUCCGAACAUUGAUUAUGCUUUCAUAGUGGCGUUAAUAGUGAUUCUCGACGAGAUUAACGAAGAUGCAAGAGGAGAAUAGAGAAAUGGUGAAACAGCUUUGUUCUUUUUCAUUUGGAUUUCUUAUAAUAAGGAGCAGUAUCAUUCUCAACGAACAAUCCUUAGAUCAGAAAUCCUACUGAUGUUGGUAAUAUGUAAGCACAAAU
rnacentral:sRNA from 1 species